AUUGAACGCUGGCGGCAUGCUUUACACAUGCAAGUCGAACGGCAGCGCGGGCUUCGGCCUGGCGGCGAGUGGCGAACGGAUGAGUAAUACAUCGGAACGUGCCCAGUAGUGGGGGAUAGCUCGGCGAAAGCCGGAUUAAUACCGCAUACGACCUGAGGGUGAAAGCGGGGGAUCUUCGGACCUCGCGCUGUUGGAGCGGCCGAUGGCAGAUUAGCUAGUUGGUGGGGUAAAGGCCUACCAAGGCGACGAUCUGUAGCUGGUCUGAGAGGACGACCAGCCACACUGGGACUGAGACACGGCCCAGACUCCUACGGGAGGCAGCAGUGGGGAAUUUUGGACAAUGGGCGAAAGCCUGAUCCAGCAAUGCCGCGUGUGUGAUGAAGGCCUUCGGGUUGUAAAGCACUUUUGGCGGGAACGAAAAGGACUGUGCCAAUACCACGGUUCGAUGACGGUACCCGCAGAAUAAGCACCGGCUAACUACGUG
rnacentral:rRNA from 1 species